rnacentral:lncRNA from 1 species
UGUUUUUACUGCAACUAUCAGCCUACGGGCCCCCAAAACUGCCAAGCAAGGCAGGGAAAAAAAAACACCUCUAAAAAUACAAUUCAUGCAACAACAAUCAUAAUAAAAAAAGCAAACUAACUCGGAAUCCCCUCUCCAAAACGGGAUAGGGGGGAGGGGAUACUGGCAGGGUGAGAGCAGCUGUUCAGUGGCAGAGGCAGCUUCCAGCACCACAGCAGCGUUUAUAUGGCUGUUUAUGCCCAAAUCACCCUCAGGAGGGUCAAUAUAUCCGUAAAGAGUCCAGUCUCAGUCAGUCCAGAUGAAAGUCUAGUUCUCCCAGCAGCCGCCGCCGGGGAGGAGAAGAAACGCAUCUUUCAGUCGUAUGGGUCGGAUUCCUCUGUAGAGAGGAGCAGGAAGGGGUCCCCCUUGUUUCGCUCGAAAACACCCCUCCCCUUCACAACUUCGCCUCAGCGAGCGCAAUCUCUGGAGCAGAUUAAAGAUCCUCUGGGUAGCGGUUUGUUUUGCAAAGUCCGGGGCUUACACCCCAAAACACACGCCUCUUCUCCCCCCGCCAAAAACACAGCCCAGCCCCAAAAUCAGCGCCGAAGCUGCUGCUUCUGCUUAUGCGUGAGGAGGCUGGCGACCCCAUUCAGUCCCAUCUCGUUAGGAAGAGAAAGUGCCAUUUCAACACAAAAUACAACCAGACAGCAGCAGGAGGGAAAGCAGCCCAAGUGGGGAAGGAACAUCCUCUCUUCCUCCUCCUCCUCCUCCUCCUCAUUCCAGUCGGGAAAGGCGCCGAGGCCAACAGCAAAGCCCCCUCCCGUGCCCCAGGCUGAAGGCGGGUCUGGGGCUGCCUGGCUGACUUCUCUUCCUCCGGCUGCUUCUCGGAGUUUCGGAGCGCCCCAAACCCAAACAAGCGGCGGUGUCUGUGUUUAUGAGUCCAGCCCCCUCCAGCCGCCACCGAGACUCAGUCUCACUCCAAGGAGAGAAACACGUGACGGCGCCAGUGCGUGGACCAUCCCAGCAGCAGCCGAGGGAGGCUCCAACCUAGCCUGGUGCCGCGGCAUUCCAAUCCGCCCCCUCCUCCCCGCCCGCCGCUCCUUUCAUUCAGUGCCGCUGCGGCUGCAAUUACCUUCGGGCCCUGAGCCGCUCGGCGCCCUGGGGGGCCGCCUUCCUAUUGGCAACGCGGUCUGUCCCUCAACUCCUCCACGGGGGGAGGUGCCCAGGCUAGGUUGAGGAGUGGAGCGUAGUAAAAAGGCGUAGACGCCAUUCACUGGCGUGUUAUUUAUAAACUAGGGGCUUGUGAGUGAAUCUCUGCAGUGUGGC